AUAAAAAGAAUAAGGGCGACCGCUUGGUCGCCCUUGUAUUUGCUUCGAUAUUACGUUUUUGGUUUGGCCGCCGAUCAGUAAUAUCAGCAAUAUUGGCGUUACGCAUAGCUGGCUGUUAGCUUUGUUCCUUACUAUGAAAAUCACUAACAGUUUUUGUAACCAUUGCCUGAGUUUUAGCUCGGGCAUUUUUAU
rnacentral:sRNA from 1 species